GGAGGGGUGCAAGCGUUGUUCGGAAUUAUUGGGCGUAAAGCGCGUGUAGGCGGUUAUUUAAGUCUGGGUGUGAAAGCCCGGGGGCUUAACCCCGGAAGUGCACUGGAUACUGAAUAGCUAGAGGACGGGAGAGGAUGGUGGAAUUCCUGGUGUAGGGGUGAAAUCCGUAGAUAUCAGGAGGAACAUCGGAGGCGAAGGCGGCCAUCUGGCCCGUAUCUGACGCUGAGACGCGAAAGCGUGGGGAGCAAACAGGAUUAGAUACCCUGGUAGUCCACGCCCUAAACGAUGGACACUAGUCGUCGGGAUUCCUAAUAGUCUCGGUGACGCAGCUAACGCAUUAAGUGUCCCGCCUGGGGAUUACGGUCGCAAGAUUA
rnacentral:rRNA from 1 species